AAAGCGCGCGUAGGUGGUUCGUUAAGUUGGAUGUGAAAUCCCCGGGCUCAACCUGGGAACUGCAUCCAAAACUGGCGAGCUAGAGUAUGGUAGAGGGUGGUGGAAUUUCCUGUGUAGCGGUGAAAUGCGUAGAUAUAGGAAGGAACACCAGUGGCGAAGGCGACCACCUGGACUGAUACUGACACUGAGGUGCGAAAGCGUGGGGAGCAAACAGGAUUAGAUACCCUUGU
rnacentral:rRNA from 1 species